AAAUCAAGAAAUAAUUUGAGCGAUUUUGAUAUUUGUUAUUCCCCAAGAAAGCACCCAAGUCAUCAUGGGAAAACCAGAAACUUGUUUAGCAUCCUAGUACUUACUUUAUUUUAUAAUUUACUAUUGUUUAUUUUAUGUUACAGAUCCUUGGGGGCCCAUGACCUUUUCAGUUUUAGUGCCACUAAAAGUUUUAAGCUGGUCUUGAGUGCAGCUGGUUUAGUUUAAGGCUGAGGGAAUCGUGCUGGGAUGGCUCCUGGGCCCCGCAGCUCUGCCUCGAGCCCAUCUGUGGGGUAACUUGAUUCAGGGCCUCCUCAGGAGCUAAUCCCAUUUUUAUUAAAAUUCUUACCCAUGGGCCUGGGAUAAUGGUCGUGGCUUUGCCUCUCAGCUCCACAGCAAGGUUGGUUGGUUGGUGGUUGUUUAAGUGAGUAAUUACUGAAGUAGAUGAGUGCCACCCCUGGACGUGGACCAAAAUAGCAAUGAGCCAACUGCUGCUUCCCAGUUCAGGAGCUGAAACUGUGCCUGGCAAAGGCUCCUGGGAGGCUCUGUGGUGGGGCUGGCUCCCUGCUGUGCCAGGAAGACAUGGGCCCGCCUCCCGUUCCGUGAGUGACACUUACAUGGUAGGACUCAUUGGUAACAAUGAUGGAAACUAAUGCCUUUGCUUUUCACUGACAAAGCUAGGCUAUUGCAGGAAACUCAAUGUUGAAUAUUUUCGGAGACUUUGAGACCUUCCAGCCCCAUGUUUGACCUUGUUGAGAAGUUCCCUAAACCUAAGAGAGAGAUGAGAACAACCUAUGGUUUCCACUGUGAG